UACAGAGGUCCCAAGCGUUGUUCGGAUUCACUGGGCGUAAAGGGUGCGUAGGCGGUCGGGUAAGUCUGAUGUGAAAUCUCACAGCUUAACUGUGAAACUGCAUUGGAUACUAUCCGGCUCGAGGAAUGGAGGGGAGACUGGAAUACUUGGUGUAGCAGUGAAAUGCGUAGAUAUCAAGUGGAACACCAGUGGCGAAGGCGGCUCUCUGGACCGUAACUGACGCUGAGGCGCGAAAGCGUGGGGAGCAAACAGG
rnacentral:rRNA from 1 species